GAUGAACGCUGGCGGCGUGCCUAAUACAUGCAAGUCGAGCGAACGGACGAGGAGCUUGCUCCUCUGAUGUUAGCGGCGGACGGGUGAGUAACACGUGGAUAACCUACCUAUAAGACUGGGAUAACUUCGGGAAACCGGAGCUAAUACCGGAUAAUAUUUUGAACCGCAUGGUUCAAAAGUGAAAGACGGUCUUGCUGUCACUUAUAGAUGGAUCCCGGCUGCAUUAGCUAGUUGGUAAGGUAACGGCUUACCAAGGCAACGAUCCUUAGCCGACCUGAGAGGGUGAUCGGCCACACUGGAACUGAGACACGGUCCAGACUCCUACGGGAGGAAGCAGUAGGGAAUCUUCCGAAAUGGGCGAAAGCCUGACGGAGCAACGCCGCGUGAGUGAUGAAGGUCUUCGGAUCGUAAAACUCUGUUAUUAGGGAAGAACAUAUGUGUAAGUAACUGUGCACAUCUUGACGGUACCUAAUCAGAAAGCCACGGCUAACUACGUG
rnacentral:rRNA from 1 species